rnacentral:rRNA from 1 species
GUGGGGAAUAUUGGACAAUGGGCGAAAGCCUGAUCCAGCAAUGCCGCGUGAGUGAUGAAGGCCUUAGGGUUGUAAAGCUCUUUUACCAGGGAUGAUAAUGACAGUACCUGGAGAAUAAGCUCCGGCUAACUCCGUGCCAGCAGCCGCGGUAAUACGGAGGGAGCUAGCGUUGUUCGGAAUCACUGGGCGUAAAGCGUGCGUAGGCGGUGACUCAAGUCAGAGGUGAAAGCCUGGAGCUCAACUCCAGAACUGCCUUUGAAACUAGGUCGCUAGAAUGUCGGAGAGGUGAGUGGAAUUCCGAGUGUAGAGGUGAAAUUCGUAGAUAUUCGGAAGAACACCAGUGGCGAAGGCGGCUCACUGGACGACUAUUGACGCUGAGGCACGAAAGCGUGGGGAGCAAACAGGAUUAGAAACCCUAGUAGUCC